rnacentral:sRNA from 1 species
UAGCAAUUGCAGAGCUACCUAGGUACUUC